AACGCAUAUUGCACCUUUUGGUAUUCCGAAAGGUACACUUGUUCGAGCGUCAUUUAAAACUUCAAGUUUAACUUGGUGUUGAAAGCUAUCUAAGCUUUUGAAACUUCUAAGCACUUUCUUUGUCUAGAGAGCAACGAACUGCAAUUCAGACAUCGGAAAUAUGAAUGACCCUUGACCUCGAAUCAAGUGGGAUUACCCGCUGAACUUAA
rnacentral:misc_RNA from 1 species